rnacentral:rRNA from 1 species
GGACUACUAGGGUUUCUAAUCCUGUUUGCUCCCCACGCUUUCGCGUCUCAGCGUCAGUCACUGUCCAGAAGGCCGCCUUCGCCACCGGUGUUCCUCUCGAUAUCUACGAAUUUCACCUCUACACCGAGAAUUCCGCCUUCCUCUCCAGGACUCGAGCCCCGCAGUUUCGAGUGCACUUCCUAGGUUGAGCCCAGGGCUUUCACACCCGACUUGCGGCGCCGCCUACACGCGCUUUACGCCCAGUAAUUCCGAACAACGUUUGCACCCUCUGUCUUACCGCGGCUGCUGGCAC